AUCUUUGAUUCAAAAUGUCCCAUUUCUUGUUGGGUGUGGACCAUGGCUCCAAUAUACUUUUUUGAGCAUUAGUCAUGUUUGUUGUUUUUUCUAUUCAUUUUCUUGCUCCUCAUCUUUUUGGAGCUGCCAGUCUGUCAUCAUUCUGCUGUUGUUGCUUAUUUUGCUGUGUCUUUUGUCUUCCUUUUAGGUUUUAAUUCAGAAAAAUGUGAGUUUAAAAGAUUAAAAGGAUAACCAUUACCUUCUCACACAGUUCCUUUCAUGGCCAAGCCUUUUUUUUAACAGUUUACAACAUCAAACAGGUGGGCCUGGGAGGAUGCAGGUAACAAGAUAGUGUGAAUUGACCAACUGGCUGGAUUGAAGUCAUACUAUUGUGUGAUUGUGACUUGAGGUCAUAAAAGUUUAUGACUCUUCUGGUUGACUCACAGCAUAGAAAAUAGCAUCCUCUUUCUUUCAAUGUUUCAUAUGUUCACACAAUAAUUUUAUAAUUAUCAGUCUAACAUUUCUUCUUGACAUGCUCUUGCUGUGUCUAUUCUUCUUAUCCUGCUGCUGUUCAUGCAGAUUUUCCUUCUCUUCAUUCUGUUGUUGCUGUUUUUUUUUUUUCAUUUCUUGCCUGUUGCUGAUUCUGUUGAUUUUCUUUAUCUUAUUAUUUUGUUUCUUUUUUUCAUUCUCCCCCAGCCAUCAAAAUGAGUUUAUUUUUAUGUUUGGAUGUGUGGAGACAUUUCUGCUUUGGUUAGCUAGGGUUAAACUAGGGACAAAAUAAUGUUGCAGUCAUUUCAGUUGGUGGGUUUAAAGUGAUGUCCCCACAUGCAAUCUAAGCACUUAAGUUGUAAAUUAUUCUAAACAGGUAUCCUUAUUUACAUUUCUUUAUUAGUGUUCAUGUUAUGAUUAUAUGUUUAUGAUUUAUAUUUUUUUUAAGUUUUAAAAAUGUAUAAUUUGGUAAUAUGUUGGUUUACUUAAUGAUGCCUCUUUAACCUAUCACUCUUAGUUUAUAAUUUUAAAGGUAUUUUUAAAUAUCUAUAGAAUAUAGAUUGUUGAAGGAUGGAGUUCAGAAGGUAAGCUGCAGCAGAGCUGUAAACUAUCAUUAAUCAGUGUGACCCCCAUUUUAUGAUUUUAUUUCAUUUUCUCUCUUUUCUUCUAUUGUACAGAAUUUGUUAAUGAUAUCUCUAAUGUUCUGAUUUCUCUUAUUUUUUAGAGUAGCUUUGUCUUGUCUGGUCCUGUUUGGCUGUGACUCCAUCCUGGAGAGAAACAUCGGAUGUGCUGCUGCCAUCAACGUUGUUGUCUGAAGAUUGUACUGUUUUCCAGUGUAGUCAUGUUUUUCUGACUGUGACUGGCUGGAUGUUCUCUUUUCAUCCUCUAUUAUUGGAGCUGGCUUGGUGCUUGUCUGUCUGGCUGUGUGUUUCUUGGACGUGGCUGCCUUUUACAGCUGGUUUUUGUUUGUGUUUUUGUGUCCUUGAAUCCCAGUGGGCUUCAGCAGAUGGCUGUUAUCACUGAGCCUGGUUCUGUUGGAGGUUCUUCCUGUUAAAAGGGAAUUUUCCCUUCUCACUGUUGCUAUAAGCAUGUUUAGUUUGAGGGAUUGCUGAAGAGUCAAUGAGUUGAUGCAAUCAACUGGUUUUUUGUAGACAGGAAAGUUUUAAUCAAUUUUACUGUGUGAUUUGGUUAAAAUGUUAAGUGCCUUGAGAUGACUUGUGUUUUAAAUUUGCACUAUAUAACUGAACUGAAUUGAAUUGAAUGUCUACAUUGAAUAGUGUACUACAUGAAUGAAUUUCCACAUAUAUUAUAUGUGAGUUAUUUUAUAAUGUGCAAUUUAGUCUCAGUGAAGAGUUAAAACAAAGUAAAUGUAAUGUUGUGGGAGUAAUGAGAGCACUUUAUUGUCAAUAAAUGCUCUGAAGCCUUUUCAACAAACUGUCUUUUUUUUAAUUUUUGAAGUACUCUGGGUUCCUUGAGCCAUCUGUGUGUAAGUUAGCAAGGUUAUAAGCAUCUUCAUUUAUAUUUGUGCUUAUGUUUUUUAUGUUAUGAUAUAUUUUACAUUCUGUAUUUAAAUAUCAAACAUAUCUUCAAUUUAAUCAUAGUUAUGUUACCAUCCAAUUUAACCAGCAAUAAUUUAAAUCAUAUAUUAGUAGUAAGACAUCAUAUUUGACUAGUUUGUUAAAUGAUAUGUUUGUAGUGUGUUUAGUGGUGCAGUCUGUGAGACAGGAUCUUCAGUAUCAAUAUAGUUUUGUAAUGGUUUGAAAUGCUUCAAGAUGUUUCAUUAAUCCACCACUUCUAUAUAUGAUAAAUGAAUGUUAAGUUCAUUUGAUAAGAUAGAUAGAUUAAUUGUAUUAUAUUUAUAUUCUAUAUAAAAGGAAUUUUUUAUUUAAAAUUUAUUGAACAUAUAGAUUAGGUUUGCUUUUCAGGUUUUAUUGCAAUGUAAGCAGCAUAGUGAAUAUAGGCUGUUCAACAUCUGCUUUGGAUUGUACUGGUAAUGUACUGAACUUGAUCAUUUCAGGCUUUGUUGAUGGAUGGAUUUUUGAAGGUAAGGUGGAGCAGACCUUUAAAGACAAUAAUAUGGUUCUUUUAUCAGUUUACAUUGAUCUUCUCCUCUUUAGAGUAUGUAUUCUUGAUCUUUUGACAAUCAUGGUUUCUUUCAUAAUGCUAUUAUUAUUGAUUAAAAGUGUAUAUUGUCUUACAAUGUUUUUUUAUCUUUGCUAUAUUUGGUAUUGCUUUUUAUUAAGCAUUAUAUUACUUGAUUUUUAAUCCUUAGUAACAGUGUGUAAGAAUGAAUCACAUGGGUUAUAAAGAAGAGUAUGUAUUUUAGUUAAACUGUGGGAUAAUAUUGAAAUCUGUAACCUACUAUGUCAGCAAAUCAUCUAUUGUAAUUAGUGGCAUGUUUUAUAAGAUUUUCUUAGGUGCAGUAUGAAGAUAAGCGUAUUUGAUUAAAAAAGAUGUGUACUUUAUAGAAGUUUGUAAGUUAUGAGGUGUGAUGCUUUUAUCAAAAAAUAUUAGAGCAGAAGACAUUGCGUGUCACAUGAGACCUUUUUAAGAUAUGGAGGAUUUUGAUGCAAAACAUGGAAACAAUACAUUUUCCUCAGUUUAUUUUAUUUUCCUUCAAUCCUUUUUGAAAAUGGAUUCACAGUUGUGUUUUCAAACCUGUUUUUUAUAUCCAGGUAUUCUUUUCUUUUUAUGUGCACUUGUUAUAGUCAAAGAAUUGAAGUAGGUGUUCUUUCAUUGCAACAGAUUGAUGUUCAAACUAAGUUUGGUUGUAUAGUUGUAGUUAUAGGUAAGCUGACAAUCACCGUCUGAUAUGGCAUGUACUUUGUUAUUUUUAAAAGGUAAAUUGCUUUAUAAGAAAUAUGGUAUUUGAUUGUGUUUACUAUUAGGUGAUAUUACUGACUUGACUUAAAUUGGUCAGUCCUAUUUUAUGGAACACAGGUAAAGUAAGUUGUUGUUAUAAAUGGAAGACAUUUCAUAGAUAUGGGAGGAAUGAAAUUUUUUUGUCAAGAGUGUCAUUUUAACUAUAGGGAGUUGAAGUAUUGUUAUAUAAGAUUACAAAAAUAAAAUAAUGUGAGACAAAUCAAAAUGUUUCUACUUAAGGUUGAGGGGUUUUAAUAUGGCAGGUCAAAGUGUAUGUGGGAUUGGAUACAGUUUUAAAUCUAAUCUCAUAUAGCAGUAAAUUAAGAUAAAAUAUAAAAGAUAGUGCAUAGGUAUUGUUGUUGGUUUUGUUAUGUCAAAUGUUAACUCACUGAAUCACAUGGGCAUGUGUAGCAUUUCUGUUUAAAUAUAAUUAAUAUAUAAUAACUUAAACUUGGGUCAUAGAUUAUUAUGAACAAAAAAAAUAGUUUUAGUUUUUUCUCUUUUCUCUGUGAAAUCAAAGUAAAAUAUGGAAUCCCACCUAAUGUAGGGAGUAUUUGUAAAGCAUUUUAAAACUAAAACAUAGUAUUGUUUAUGUAGUUUAAGAGCAGUUGAUGUAAAUAGUAAUAGUGCUACAAUUAUAUGGGUAAAUCAAAAAUAAUUAUCUAAAAAGAACUGUUUAAAGUUUUUUAAUGUAUCUCAAAGAAAACUAUGGUAUAAUUAUAUUUUAUUUCUCUGGAUUAUUUUCCUUUUAUUUAAUUUGUUGAUUUGUAACAUUGUAACACCAAAAAUGUUUUGUGUGUGAUUGAAGAGAUAAAAAGACACAUAUGAUAAAAGAUUUUUUUCAGUAUUUAAACAUUUCUUAUAUUGUGAGAUUUUUGUUGUUCUUUUUUUAAGUGAGGGCAUUUUAGCUUUGGUUCUAUACUUAGGCUCAACUGUUGCUGGUUUAUGGAUAUUACUUAGUAGAUGGUGAAUGCAGGUGUAAUAAUGUGUCUCAUAUUAUAUUUGAAAGCUUUGCAACAAUUUUGCAUAAAUUUAAGGAUUUUUAUAUGAAUUUCAUCUCAAGCAGUGUUUAUUUUUGCGAAAAAUUGUUUAAGAUUAAAUUGUUAUAAGUGUUAUGACAAAAGCAUUUGUUUAUUGCAUUAUUGUAUUAUUUAUAUAAUAAGUCCUAAUAUAGGAGCUUGGAAAGAAAUUUUUUUAACAGGUUUAUUAGAUGUGUCAGAUAAAUUGUUUUAUUUUGAAAUGUUUUUGGUUGAGGUGAUGUGUUUUUCAAAUUAAGUACCGGCCAUCUUUAGGUAGCUAUUGUAGAAGGAGCGUCGCAUCUAAGAAGUUCAGUCGGACUGAAAGCUUGUUGUAGUAGGUAUUUUUUUGUUGAAUCAUUUGUGAUUUCUGCAUUUUGGUUAUGUUUAAUUAAGAAUGUUUCUGUAUUUUCUAGGUCAUGGAACAUUGUACUCCACAGAAGUUUCCCAAAUCUCCCGUGCCGGAGUUGGAAGCUUUGAAAGUUGAGGCGCAAGUUUCUUGUUACCUUAUUGGUGAUGCGGCGGUAGCAAGGGAGGAAGCCUUCGGGAGAAAUUGUAUCACCUACAAUAAGCUUCUCGAAAGGCUUUUUCGUAGUGAGCGUCAGCGGAAGGCGCAAGAGCAGCGGGCCAAUAAUGCGUUCUGCCAGCUCAAAUUAAAGGAGCAAGAAAUUGUAGAGCUGAAGAUCGAAAGAGAAGGCCUUCAGCUGGCUCUUGCCUUUUCUGAAGAUGUUUCAGAAAUGAUGGAGCAAGAGGGAGAAGAAUCUGUGGAGCCUGAAAUAAUGCAAGAAGAAAAGGAGGCUUAAUUUUAUUUUAGAUAGUUAAUAUGUGUGAUGUUUUUUUGCUGUUUGUUUUUAUAUCUUUAAUUUUAUUUAAUACAUAUUUUGUUCUGGCUUGAAAUGUUCUUUUUUUAGUAAAGUUGUUUUUUCACUUUGAGUCUUGUGGUAUUUCAUUAUGCUGAAAUUUUAUGUGGUUUUUUGCUUGGUUUAGUUGCUUCUAGUGAAAUAUUUAAUAUGUAAAAUAGGAGUAUGAAUUGUUGAUUAACAAAUAUCAUGAUCUUUGAAUUUUUUCCUUUAUAUAUAUGUAUAUAUAUAUUUUUCAAAGCAUCAAAGAGCAACUAUAGAGUUGAUUAGCAUGUAGUAAAACAUUAAUGUUGUUAGGAUAUAUGAUUUUACAAAUUUAUUUAGAUUAGUGGAAUAUUUUAAGGGAAUUGUACUUCAUAAUUGCAAGUUAAUUUAUACAUAUUACUAAGAAAAUGUG